AGCGAACGCUGGCGGCGUGCCUAACACAUGCAAGUCGAACGUGAAAAGGGAAACCUGAGUAAAGUGGCGUACGGGUGAGUCACGCGUAGGUAAUCUACCCCAGAAUCUGGAAUAACCUGCCGAAAGGCGGGCUAAUACUGGAUAGAGCGAGGGAACUCGUAAGAGAGUUUUUCGGGAAAGGGAGCCCGCAAGGGCCUUCGUUCUGGGAUGAGCCUGCGUCUCAUUAGCUAGUUGGUAAGGGAACGGCUUACCAAGGCGAUGAUGAGUAGCUGGUCUGAGAGGAUGAUCAGCCACACUGGAACUGAAACACGGUCCAGACUCCUACGGGAGGCAGCAGUGGGGAAGCUUGCGCAAUGGACGAAAGUCUGACGCAGCCACGCCGCGUGAGUGAAGAAGGCCGUCGGGUUGUAAAGCUCUGUCGGAUGGGACGAACAUCUUCAUAGUGAAUAGCUAUGAGGACUGACGGUACCAUCAAAGGAAGCACCGGCUAACUCCGUG
rnacentral:rRNA from 1 species